CAGGUUUCUCUCAUUCUUCCCCACUUCAUUGACAACCUGGGGUCUCAUUUCUUCCACCCUGCUCUGAUGCUCUCCUCUGGGACAGUUUGGAAGGCACUUCACUUCAUCUUGUCCGGCUCUUUUAACAUUGGAGUAGGGAUUCUCAUUGUCAGAGUUAUAUCUGCUCCCUUUGCCUGUGUUGAUAAGUUACUCUAGACUUCAAGUCCUGGGAAGCUUGGUCGGAUAAUCUCCCAUUUAAAAUGUGAGGCCCCUCUUCUAUCCUCACCAUCGACUCACAUAACCGGGCUCCUUAGGACAUCGAUGGGCUGUAACGAGAGCAGACCCGUGUCCCUGUCAUUUUGGUAAGAUAUGAAGGUGUGCACGGCACAAGACGCAGAUAUCCGAGGAUGUCUAUAUCGGAACUUGUGCAUGAGCUGCUGUCUGUUUCUGAUCUGAAAACUUUCACUGUGCCUUUCUUUAGUAACUUUUGAAUGUCCUCUAGAUAGCUUAGUUGUCCAGUCAGGUUACUCAUACUGCAGGGUAAACUCAAAGUCUAGGCAGGGUGUGACUUUUAUGGGUAAGUCUAUAGCAAAGUAAACGUGCAGCAGGAAUUUCUGGGGUAUUGCCAUAAUCUGAUGGACAGAUCCAUCCAUAACGGAUUGAAAUGGAAAAAACGCCUGUUUUGUUAAAUGGUGUAAAUACAUAACAAAAUUAAACCUACCUUAAAAUGGAAGAAGCCGGAUUCUUUACUGUGGCGUUUAAAUGUAGGUCACAAAUUAACGUUCACAGAUAUAAAUCUACUUUCAGUGUAACGGUUCAUGUUCACUGUGGGAAGUUCCUAUGUUCUCAAUUUUGUUCUUGGCCAAUAAAUGUGGAAUCUCCAAUUUUGUCAAACUGAGCACUAACGCCCCACAGAUACAAGCGCAUCAACUUCAUAAUUAGUGCUAUCAAUAAUGAUCUUUGCUGUUCAUGUGCUGUUAAUCAUUUUGCUCUCCUUUUUUUAUGUGCUCCUUUGCCACCUCAAUAAACACUGAAACACACAUUUGCUGAAUUUGUCUGCGGAUGUGGUUUAAAGAAUGAUGCCGUGCUGAGGUAGUGUGCCACCAUGUGCUGAUGCCUAGUGUUUUUAAUACUUUCCGUUUACCAUUUAAGCAGGUCAUGUAUUCAAACAAUAAUUUUUUUGCAUUCAAAUCUCAGUCCACAAAUGGAGAAGAGAACCAAAACGGCAACGCGGUCAAGGUAGUGAUGAACAUAGUGAGGUACUGAACUCAGGAAAAACCUCCUGAAGCAUUUUUCUGUGAUCAUGCAGCUUAGUCUCAAAAUAGUGGAUAGAAUAGUCAUCAAAUGUUGGACAAAGCACAAGCUCUACAAUGACUUUGACAUCAAAGACAUUGUCGACAAAGGAAAAAUCAUAAAGGGGCAAUCUGGAAAAAAAAGAAGUAAAAAUGAUCUAAUCAUAAAUGCAGUGGAAGCACUCAGAGUCUCUACAAUAUGCUUUUUAGUUGGCCAAUGCCACCAACGUUCCUCUUUCCAGCAGUGUUUAUUGAGAUUGGCUUUGGUCGGUUUUCUUAGUAUGGGAAUGACACAUAUUUCCUGGUGUAAAAUAUCAUCUCCUGAAUAAACAUAGCCAACUACACAGGUACAAAUGCCCUCAGAACGAUUAUGCCGCACACCAGGUGGUGAACCACUAGUUGUAUGAAAAUACUGCAAACUCUCUUUCAAGAUACAGUCCACCCUAAACCAAACUGACUUUGUCUUCUUCCCAUGCAUAACAACACGGUCAUGACUGCCUUUGUUCUAAAUCCUUGUGUAGCGUUACAAAAUCCACAAAGGGCCGGAAGCCUGCUAAUGCCAGGUCUGAUUCAAUGCAUAAAACAUUGACCCAAACGGAUCACGGCCGUCAAUGAAUACACCAUUUUGUUCAAGAGUGCAAAACUCUCGUAACAAAGGAACACUUGCUGUUUGAGAGCCACACCUGGAGAAUGGAUACCUUACGUAGUGCUGCGCGGCUGACUGACUGAUCGAUCAGCAACAACCUAAUAUAUACUGAACACAGUUUAUGGAUUUCCUAUGAAGUAGAUCUGCAAUUGCAGAAGACAACAAAUAAUUGAUUUAUUAUUAUGUAAUCAAUAUAUAAACAUUUAAAUUCGCCUGAUUCUUGAGGACGCUUGCUACUUUGUGUGGCAGAGUGGCUCCGCUCACUUCAAUCUCCAUGUUUUUGGGUGUUCUAAAUCAGCUGACUUUCCAUCUUUCCGUCUUUUGUGUCUCCCCCUUCCGCGUCAUCGACGGCGCCUGCCUGUCUGCCGACUGAGGUUGGAGGUGGAAGCGUGGCCUUCAAGCCGGUACAGAUCCCCUUAGGCGUAGCAUCCAAUUCCUACGCUAAAGCGGCGUCGUUGUGGUGCACCACCCUGGCGUGGGAGCACUAAAGCUUCUACGUCCCGCCAGUGGCUCACCUGCUGAAGCAGGCCUCUAACCAGUGCGGGACCCCCCCCCCACUGCUGUUCUGUCUGGGCUGAGCUGUUGGUGCCACUGGUAGGAGUGACUGGCUGAUCCCGGUGGUGGUUCCCUUCAUUUUUUCGUUGCAGUGCACCUGGGUGUCAAUAGUCUGUGGUUUGUUUUGUUUUUCACGUGUGGUGGAACAUUAGGCCCCUUGCCCCUCAGCAAGUCAACUCCGCCAGUGAGCCCUCAGUCUCAGCCCCCUCAUGUAUGUUGCAUCUCAUGGUAACCUGAAUGAUUGAGAACGUGAGAGAUUUUAUUUGAACUUUGUGAUCGCGACUGCAUUUUAAGAAAAUAACUUAAUAUUAAAAUAAACUUGUAUAAUUUUGUUUAUGGAAUCACGUCUAGUGCCUGUGUUGUCCGGUCAUUGACCUGAGACUGGUGGUCCCUUUUUAAUUCCUGGGGUGAAAUUCCCUAAGUGGCGUUAUUUGCUUUUAAUAGUAAAAUUCCAGAUCUUUCCUCUGAUGCCACAUUUGCGUCAACUUCGGCCCACAAGAAAAGAAUAUUGGCUGAGUUAUAAUUCACUUUGGCCGAUUUAAAUUAGCUAAUUGAACAUCACAAAUCAUGCUUUCUUAACAUCUGUGUAUCAACCUUGACGAUAAUUUUACUGUGGAAAAAAUUACAUCUUGCCAAUAGUUCCUACAGAUGCGUGUAGGAAUAACAUCACAUUUGCCAGGCGGGCCGCUUAACAGAAGAAGAAUACACAAGACUUUGUUGACUGAAACUAGUUACCACUUGACGUGAACACGAUUGCCCUGCUAAAGUUACGCAAUCAGUAAACGUCAAUCAUCCGUUAUCAGUCAAUGGCGCUGAUGCUAUUAAGCAAAUAACAGCUCUAACCAGCAGCCUCUUUAUUUUCAGUCUUAAUAUAAUGGUUACAUCCUGUAUGAAUAAAGUCAAGACACUAUGGUAAGAUAAGUAGCAUUGUUUGUGCAAUCCUUUAAUAUAUAUAUGAAUAGUGUCUUCUCCAACCCACAUAACACCUACACUCCAUAUUCAAUUUCAACCCAAAUAGUACUUUUUGGGCUUUUUAUGUGUUAAAAUGCUGUAAACGGACCACGUUUCUAUUUCCUUUAUCUAGGACUGCAUGAACAUUGUGUUUUGUGUUACGGCUACUUGCUCUAAAUUGUAAAAUGAAAUAACAUCUACUUUAGAUGUAGUGAUGGUUGAUCCGUGCCUCAAUGUAUGCAACUGGUAUACAGGUUACUGGUGCAGCUCGUUAUUUUUAAUGAGCCCUUCUGUUUAAGCUCUACCACUGAUGCAUUGUAACAACUGCACCCAAAUAAGGGGCGAAACUUAUUUUUUAAGAAGAAAAUGCUGUUUUGAGAUUGUCGUUACUGAACGUGUCCCAGUUGUGGUGGUGAGCUGGUAUUUUUCAAUAGUACAGUAACAAAGUUCUACAAAUACUAGCUUUAUUUAAGGCAACUCAGAAGUUCUGGCUUUAUAUCUGCAUGUGUGAUCAGGCAUGAUUAUAUCUGACAUAAAAUAAAUCCAUUGAAAUAUAGAAAUUAUAGACUGUCC
ensembl:lncRNA